rnacentral:sRNA from 1 species
GUAGGCAAUGAUCUUGUUCGCCUUGCCGCGCCUGAGCGCAUGGAUGACUU